ensembl:lincRNA ankyrin repeat and LEM domain containing 1
UCCGGCCGCUGGACCUCGCGGAGCAGCAGGGACACGGGGACUGUGCGCGCGUCCUGCGGGACCUGCGCCCGCCGGGCUGCCCAGCGUGGAGGACGGCGACGGUGACCGCGGGGGCCUGCGGUGAGGGGACUGCGGGGCGGUGCGCGCCCGCUGCCUGUGCCGGCUGGGGCGCUGAGACUCCGAUCAGUCUGUUUUUUCCUAUUCUUCCUUCCUCUUUCCUUCCUUUAUACUGGGGAUGAGUCCAAGCGCCCGCUCCCUGAGCUGUAUCCCCAGCCCCCUUUUCAUUUUGAAACAGUUAAUUAUCAAUUAAUUAUCACUAAUUACCUAAGUUGUACGGGCAGGUCUUGAACUUAGGAUCCUCCUGCCUCAGCCUCCCACCUGCUGGGGCUACAGACCUGCACCAGUAAGCCUGCUGGGACGGCCUUGGAACCCGUGCCCGCUCCCUUGCUGCCUCUCCCCUUGCCACAGCAGCCUCAAUGUCCGACCUGAUUGUGCAUCUGUGCCCCCCCAUCUUCAGGAGCGGGCCUCACGGCCGCGGAGGUGACCCUUGAGCCUGCCGCACGGCCAGCCGGGCCUGAGCGUGGGGACAUGGGCCUGGGCCCCAGCCGGCGGGUUGCCAGCCCCACCGGGCCCCUGGAGGCUGCGGAUGAAGAGGGAGGCUCAGAGUCCCCGCGCCAGGACUGGGACAGCAGCUCCGACGACGACGAUGAAGUUCCCUUUGUCACUGCGGUGGAAGCUUCUGACUCGGAGGACACAGCCCUGGAGAGGAAUUCUGUCGGGGGCCCAUCACUGCCUCAGGCAGAACAGGGACCCAUGCGGGUGGCCCUGAGGCCUACAGGCCAGCCAGGGCCAUCAGGCAAGGAGGCUGAGCUCGGCGCCCGGCUGUGGGCCAUGACUCUGUCCCCGUCCUGGGCUACCUUCUUCCCUCCCCUCGUGGACCCAAGCACAGCCCACAGCAACCCCCAGAAGCCUGGCCUCUGCCCCCAGGCAGAUGAGCAGCGGCCCUUUGGCGGUGACAUGGCUGCCCUUUGGCUGACAGAGGACGAGGCCAGCGCCGCAGAGGACAGGGAACAUGUCCCCACUUGCAAGCUCCCGCCGGUGCCCACCGCUCCUGGCCUACAGCUGCGGCACAGGCUCCCGGCGCCUGGGCACCGUCGCUGCCCCACUGUUCCCUUCAGCCAGCCGCCCUGUGGCCCCCAACGGCAGGGAGAGGGCUGGGCCACGCCCGGUGAGUCCUUCUUGGGCUUGGAGUCCCCAGGCCCAGCGCUCAGGCCCCUCUCGCCAGCUGCCCGACUCACCCUCGCUCCAGUUCCUGACUCGGUUUCCCCUCCCGGCCCAGACUUUGCAAAGUACAGCCCAGAACUCGCCGAGGCCCUGCGGACGGGCUGCAUCCCGGACUCCCAGGCGGACGAGGACGCGCUGGCCCAGCAGUUCGAGCGGCCGGAUCCCUCGGAGAGGUGGCGGGAGGGCGUUGCCAAGUCCAGCUUCACGUAUCUGCUGCUGGACCCCAGGGAGACUCAGGACCUGCCCGCCCGAGCCUCCUCGCUGACCCCGGCCCAGUGUCUUCAGACCUUCGUCCACGCCAUCUUCUACGUGGGCAAGGGGACACGCACCCGGCCAGACGUCCACCUCUGGGAGGCCCUUGGCUACCGUGGGCGGCCAGGAAGACAGGCCUGCCCCAAGGUGCGCCGCAUCCUGGACAUCUGGGACAGUGGCCAUGGCGUGGUCUCCCUGCACUGCUUCCAGCAUGUGGUGGCUGUGGAGGCUUACACGCGGGAGGCCUGCCUUGUGGACGCCCUAGGAGUCCAGACGCUGACCAACCAGAAGCAAGGGCACUACUAUGGCGUGGUGGUGAACUGGCCCGCAGCUCGGCGGCGGCGCUUGGGGGUGCACCUGCUGCACCGUGCGCUGCUCAUCUUCCUGGCCGAGGGUGAGCGGGAGCUGCGGCCUGAGGACAUCCAGGCGCGAGGCUGAGCGCUGGAGUGGCCGUCCAGCCUGGACAGAUGUCAUGGUGUCUGCUCUCCCUGUGCUGAGAGCAAACCCCUCAGUGGCUGCAGAUGGCAGGCUCCAUGUACGUGUGUGUGUGUGUGUGUGUGUGUGUGUGUGCGCAUGUGUGUCAGCAGCCCCUGGGUAGAUCCCUUUCUGUCUCAGGGAGGCUCUGUGAACACAGUAACUGCUGGAGAGGGAGUGAACUCCCCAUCAUGGGAGGAAACCAAGGGGCAAACCAAAAGGUGCUUCGGAAUACUUUGGUGCUUUGGCAGUCUUUGGGGGUUGUCUUUCUUUUUCUGAGAUUGGGUCUUCCUAUGUACCCCAGGCUGGCCUUGAACUCACUUCGGCCCUCCUGCCUCAGCCUCUUGAGUAGUGGUAUUAUGGACCUACACCUCCAUGCCUGGCUUUUUGUGGACUGUUGUAGUCACCUUCCCCUGCUGGGACCAAAUACUUGGCACCCACAGCUAGAAGGAAGAGAGGUCUAUUUCGAUUCACGGGUUCAGUCCACGGCCAGCUGGCUCCAAGGCCGAAGCAGCACGGUGGGCGGGCCUGGCGGAGGACACUGCUCACCUCGCGGUGGUCAGGAGUCAGGAAGAGAGGGGAGGAGCCGGGGACAAGGAUGUGCCUUCCCGGUCACAUCCCAGUGGCCGCCUCCAGCCAGGCCCCGCCUCCUACAGCACUGUCAGCUGUGGACUCAUCCCUGGAGGAGCAGGGAGAUGAGCACUGCGCCCCACCAUCCCAUCCCCUGCCACACAGGCUUCUGGAGGACAGCUUAGCUCAUACCCGCAAUAUGGUCCGAGUCCCCUUUUUUUUUGAGGCUCUGAGCUAUGUAGCUCAGGCUGCCCUUGAUUCUCCUGCCUCAGCCUCCAAGCACUGGGAUUAUAGGAUUAUACUAACAUACCUGGCUCCAUCCACUUUUAUGUCCCAGACACAGGGUACCCACAGAUGGGCUGGCCAGGGUUUCUUUUGCUCCCCAUGGGGGGGCUCUGCCCUUCUCAGAGCCAGGCUCACUCCCUCGGGCUGAGGGGCCCUGCGCUAGUACUGUGUCUGCCUGGGCCUCAGUAUGUGCCACGGAUGGAGCUUCCUCCUGCUGGGAAUUCCCACAGGCAGCUGCAGGGGACUGGCUGGGCUCUGCACAGCGCUGCAGUAGUGGUGCAGGCCUGCUCUCUCGGCCCUGGGAGGCUGAGGCAGGAGGUUUGGGCAACCUAGUGACUUAGUGACAGCUUGUCUCAAAAUAAAAGAAUACAAAAAGGGCUGGGGACAUGGCUUAGUGCUGAGGGGUUGGUUUAGAUCUGUAGUACCAAGAAAAAAGAAGGGAGGAAGGACAGCUCGGGGAGUGGGCCGGGGCUGCACCACUUAGCACCAACUGGAGAAC